UCUGCUCCUGAAGCCAGAGACAAAACGGGGAGCCGUGGUCAGACGCUGCAAUGGACACUGACUCCCUGGAAAGGGGGGCUGACACUGAAGAGCAGGUGCAGGUAUGUGUCGCACCCCAGCACGUGGUACCUCUCCUCUGAACUGCAGCCCUAAGUCCCUGAUCGUUGUCACCCGUCUCCAGCCCUCCUCUGCCUGCCAUUUAGGGAGUAGACGGGGCUUUGAUGGAGCACACAGUAGCGACUGUUUCACCUGGAGAGACGGCAUCUCUCUGCACCAACCUGUGCUGCCAGUUAAAACAAUCUUCACACAGGCCAAAUAUUAUGUUGUUUGUAUUGUGGUAGCACCUAGGAACCCCUGGCAUAGACCAUGGUGCUAGGUGCUGUACAAACACAGAACAGACGGGCCCUGCCCAAAAGAAUGCUCGGUCUUUUCAGAGAAAUGAUCCAACAGCUGCUCGGCUGCCCUCACCUCCUUCCAACAGGAGCCGGAUGUUUUCGGUGUUGUGGAUCUGAACUCCAUCACUGCUGGCCAGGGCAUGCAGCAAAGCUGUCUUUCCUGUGGAGAAGAGUGUAAAACGGGGAGUGGGAGCAUUACGUCAGAGUGACUUCUAGGAAGGGUCCCUUUUGGACCUACCCCGUCCGCGAACCAUGACGGUAUGGAGGGGACACGCUGCAUAUAGCUCUGAAAAAUAAUGCACCCCCUUAAUGAGCUAUUCAAACUGCACAAGGAUGCAGCAGUGGGAGCAUACACAGCCUUGGGGAUAGCAUUGCCAACUAUCUAAUCACACAAACCCAAACAUCCUUGCCCUACCCCUUCCCUGAGGCCCCACCCUGCUCACUCCAUCUGCUCUCUCCUAUCCUCGCUCACUUUCACUGGGCUGGGGCCAAGAGGUUCAGAGUGUGGGAGGGGGCUCGGACUGAGCCUGGGAUAGGGGUGCAAGUGCAAGCUCUGGGAGGGCGUUUAGGUGCAGGAGGGGGCUCAGGGUUGGGGCAGGGGGUUGGAAGGGGGUGAUGGGUGCGGGCUCCGUCCAGGAGGUGCUUACCUCGGUCCACUCCCAGGCAGUAGUGCAGCAGUGCUAAGGCAGCGUAAAAUCUCCCAGUUUGGCUUCAGUGGCUUUCAGGAGACGCCCAGUGAAACGGGGAGGCUUGGCAACCCCACUUGGGGCUAGUGCGUGUUAGCACAAUACUGCUUUAGAGUCACCAGAGGGAGCACCAGACAUUGUGGCUCUUCCAUUAGCUCCUGAGCACACCAGGGCAACUGCAAGCAUGUUACAGCAUGAGUGUCACAGCACAGACUGAGUGUGAUCUCCCCAACUGGUGUGGGCAGGAAUUAAGCGUGCUAGCCAGAAGUGCCGGGUAGUCUGAGCAUGGCUACACUGCUAAAGCAUGUUCAAAUAUGGUUAAAUCCCUGCCUGUCCUAGAGAUACCAAUAGCCCCGGGGCAAAUGCCCGUGAACCCUGGUCAGGUUUGAAGGUCUUAACCUAGAUCUGAAUUUCCACAGGUGGUUCCUGCUUCUCAAAUGGACUGAACAUUGGGCAACUCAGAAAUCCAGAACCAAAUUUAACAGCCUAGGCAAAAGAACCCAGGCCCCUGCUCUUACUAGGCCAUGCUGUCUGCCCAUUCUCUUUGAUACGCAUACCAACGGUUGCUUUCUGUGGGAACCAAGUGCCCCAGGAGUUAGGGUGGGGCAGGGGGCCAGAGGGAAAUUCAUUCCCUGUAUGAUGGAAAGGGGCACAGACCAUUUUUGUCAGCUGCAUUGACAUCGGCACCGAGUUCCAGGAGACGCUGCAAACAUGGCAGCCGCUCGGGCUCCUCACUGGCAAGAUCCAGGGGGCUGCUUUC